AAUUAGUAUUUUAGUCAAUCAGGAAAGAUAUAACAAAUAAUACAAACUCUCUCUGUCUACAGACAACCUUAAAUCAUGGAUCAGGAUUUUCAGAAUUACAAGAGAAUUUGCUGUUUUUAUGGUUUUUGUAUAUUCAGUUCUUUUUACAUAUGUCUGGAGAAAGAGAGCACAUGAUACAGACACCAAACCACGCAUAUUUUCUGCAGUAUUAUUUGGAAUUGUUGUGCUGAGUUGUCUCAUCUUGAGUAUAGUUGACGUCUCAAGGUGUCCCAGUCAAGAGAGGCCCAGCGGGGCUUCCCCAUGCAACCAAACUCUAGGUUGCAGACACAAGCUCUUUAUAUUUUGUCUGAUUAUUUCUAUCCUGUCUGAUUGUCAACUGUUCCAGUUCAUCAUCUUAUUUAUUCCCUCUGAAGAAAUUUUUGUUGUGGUAUUUGUUCAGCCACUACUGCUUAUCUGUAUACCACUUUUACCUCAUCUGCAAGCAAAAUUAAAAU